rnacentral:lncRNA from 1 species
AAAGCCAAACCAUAUCAUCUUCAUUCUCCCCCCUGGCACUUGAGGGGAAAAAAGAAUCAUAUCAGCUUGACUAUUCAAAAAAGAAGCAAGAGCGCCACAGUUAUUUCAGUGCAUGGGAAAAGGGAUAAACUGAAACAAUAAACUUGAACGUUUAGGAAUAUAAAGGUAAGGGGGAGAGAGAUAACAAUCUUGGCCUCUGAGUUCUGCAACCCUAUGGUUGUUUUAAACAAAUGAAAGCAGAUUGCUUUCUUCCUGGAGUUCUAGUGAAAUGUAUCUUGCCACCAGCAGACCGUUCGGAGCUCCUGGCCACAGUUUAUUGGCUCAUUGCCACGUGUCAUUAGUGACCUAUUUUCGCUGCUGUGAAAUCGGCCAUGUCUGAAGGCCCCCGAAUCAGCAGUUUCUCCCUCCACUCACCGGCUCCAGGCUGGCAAAGCUGACACCAGUGCCACAGAAAAUGCAACCCGCUGCCCUCUCCCCAAAAUGUGGGGAGAGCACGGUUUUGCUAUGAAGAUGUCGGCUUUGACCUGAGGCUGACUUGAGAGCCCAGCUGUCAUGUCUCUUCCAAAUAAGCUGCUGAACUUGGAAUUAUCUUGGCUGAAUAAUUAAUCAGGACUAAAAAUAACCUCAAACUGCCUGGGCUUUGCUUAAAUCCUACACAGGCACAGCAUCACCUUACAUCGAAGACAGAUUCAACGAAUCUGCCUCUCAUCCUAGGUGGCCACUAGGCAACUCCUCUGGGACCAUUUCUUCCUGCUCUAUGCUCCCAUGACCUUCAUUCAUACUCCCUCUUCCCCUGCUGGAAACCUACUUCUUUUACCUCCUCAAAGGUAAAAGGACCAGCUGGUGAACAAAAGAAUACAUUUGCUCUAUCUAAAGAGAAGCAUUAGAGCAAGGGAGGAAAAACUGAUGCAAGACAAAUGACUUGGGCUCAUCAUAAAAUACUGAGCAGUCAGCAGAACAUUAAGAAGAGACUUCUACUCCCCACCACACACAUAACCAUCUGCACACCUGAAUGCCGAGACUAAGCCUCACCAGACGCCAGCAGCAUAAAUGAGAGGAGUCACUUACCCCUCUGAGGCUCAGGCUUCUCGACUGGAAAAAAAAAAAGAUAAUAAAAAUAUCAGUUCAGUUGGG